GAUGACUAAUCCAAACACAUUCAGUUCUUACUAGAAUAUCUAUAAUUCAUAAUAUAUAAAAAUAGUGAUAACAAGUUUGUACAAUUAGAACUAAUUUACAGAACGUCCACCUCCUAGCCAACUAGGAAUGGAAAAGCAAAUAAUUAAGAUGAAAGAUGAAUCUGCUCACAAAUACAUAUUGGAGUUUUCGAAAACAUGGUUGUAGAGAGGUAUGCUGGUCAGGUCGGUUUUGGAGUUUUCGAUGUGUUGGUACCACUGGAACGCCUGCAGGUGCUUCCUUAGGGGAGCCACGUCUAUGGUGUUGAUGAGAGGCAGAGAAUUGGCGUAGUAGUACACACUAAGCACACACGGCUGCUCGUGGAUUUGGC